AUAAGAAUGCCAAGUGGCAUAAUCUUUGCUAUGACAUGUGUAAUGAUCCUAGAGUGUUGGUUUUAGUUAGUUACAAGUUUACUUACUAACUAAGUAUCCUAGUUACUAUAUAUAGUGAGCUAAGUCAUUUUCCAACGUAAUGAAAAACUGUUAUUGCUGUAAUAUCAAAGUCUUCUUUCUCUCUUCAGUGACUUUUCGCAUUCCUUCUCUUUCUUCAUCUCUGUGUGUUAAGAUGGUAUCGAGCCCAGGUUUCGUCAAAUUUUCUGGGAACGACGUUGUGUGGCAAGGGUUCUGAGGAGUUUAGUGAGAUUGAUUCCUGCAAUUCUUGGAGUCGAUCGGAAAGGUGCGAUUGGGAAUAUGAAGGUUGAUGUGACUAGUCAGAAAAUUGCGAUGGGAGAUCUGAGGAGUUGUGUGAGUUGUCUUGGCUUACGAAGUCGAUCGAUUUCUACGAUUGAUCGGAAAAGUUGCUGCAGAAAAUCAGUGAGAUAAUGGGAGGUUCUACACUCAAGAUUGGGGGCCUAUUAGGGAUGCUUACAAUUCGUUUACAAGAGGACAACUUUGCAAAAUAGUCAUUUCAAUUUCAAUCCGUGUUGGAAGGUUAUGAUUUGUUUGACUACUUUGAUGGUACCAAUGUUUGCCCUUCGAAGUAUGUUGUCUCGUUAGAAAAUGGGGUUACAACAGAGAUUACUGCAGCUUAUCGUGAAUGGAUUAAGGCUGAUAAAGCAUUUCUCAAUCUACCGAUUGCUGCUUUUGGAGAUGAGGCUAUUGAAUAUGUUGUAGGAAGUAAAACUGCUCAUGAAGCUUGGACUUAACUCACCGACAGGUAUGCUACAAUUUCAAGGGCAAGAAUCAAUCAUCUCAAGAUUGAAUUACAUACUACCAAGAAGAGAGCAGAUUCUAUUGAGAAGUAUUUACUCAGGCUUAAGCACUUGAAAGAUCAAUUACUUCCUGCAGGAGAAUCAAUUUCAGAUAAUGAUCUUAUUGUUGCAGCUCUAGCAGGUUUACCCUCAGAAUACAAUAUAAUCAAAACAGUAAUUGUAGCAAGAGAGUCAGUAAUUACAUUGAAAGAGUUUCGUGUACAGUUGUUAAGUGUAGAAAGAACAACUGAAGAAUAUACCUCAUCUCUGCAAUUUCCUAUGACUGGAAUGUUCUCUCAAGGAGAGUCUUCUGCUAUGGGUGUAUCCAGACAAUACUAUCAAGGUGACAAUUAAAAUGAAGGUGGUUCAAAUGGUGGUCAUUUUUAUCAAGGGGAAUCCUCUGCAACAUGUGCAAGUAGGCCAUCUUAUCAGGGAGAUUAUUCUACUGGAGGUGUAGGUUUUGUGAGUCAACUUCCGAGAUCAAAUGGCACUGGACCAAGUGGUGGACAUUUUUCUCAGGGUAAUCUGUCUCAACAAUUUCAAGCCCGUAGAAACAACAAUGGUUUCAAUGGCCCUAGGUUCAACUCUAGACCUAUGUACAAUGGUCAUAAUUCUGGGAACUUUAACAACCGCAACACUGGUGGUUUUAAUGGUUCUUCAGGCAAUAACAAUGGAGGCUCAACAUGGGGAAAUUGGAAUGACAAUAAUGGUCAGCGAUCACACAUCAUUCCUAAGUGUCAGAUUUGCAACAAAAAUGGGCAUACUGCACCAAAUUGCUAUUACAGAAAUGAGCAAUUACCUACUUCUAAUCAAGCGAUUCCUGAAUGUCAAAUAUGUGGAAAACGUGGUCACACUGCCUUGAAUUGUUUCCACAAGGGCAAUGAUGCUUUUCAAGGAACUCAACCACCAUCAUCUCUUAAUGCUAUGACUGAUCAGUCUUCAAUGGAGUUCAAUAACAAUCAGGCUUGGAUAAUGGACAUCAUAUGAUUGGAAAUGUUGGCGAUUUAAACAUGCUGACACCAUUUGAAGGAGAUCAGAAAAUCACAGUGGGAAGUGGUGAAUGCCUUCCUAUCAAAAACAUUAGUUCUUCCUCUAUCAAAACAUCUUCUAAACCACUUCAUCUUUAUAUUGUGCUACAUGUUCUAGAUUUAGCUGCUAGUCUUAUUUUAGUUUAUACUUUAUGCAAGGAUAAUAACUUUUAUGUGAUUAUGGAUGAAUUUGGAUUUUGGGUGCAGGACAAGGCAACAAAGACAAUUCUCAUGAGAGGAAUGAGUAGUGGGGGAUUAUACCAUAUACCAAAGUAGCUCUUUUUCAACUAUAAUCGGCUAAUAAAGUCUUCACCAAAGUGACAACAGUUCAUCACAAUCUGGAACAAGGUCUCAGUCAGUUCAUACAAUGGAUCAAAUGAGUUCUCUUGAUGCUGUUAUGCUAGAUUAGUCAGUUCCAGUGGCUUCAAAUUCAUCACAGGAUUGUUCCACAUCUCAGAAUCAAGAAAUGUCUUCUUAUACUCAGUAACAGGUUGCUUCCCCUCACACUACUCCCCUUUCUACAUCAACUUACAACUUUUUGUUGCAUGUCCAGAGUUCAGCCCAAUUAAAGGUAAUUCAUUUCUUCAAUCCAAAUAAUGAUUCAAGUUUAAGUCAUCCUAUGCAAACUAGAUUGAAAUCUAGUGCUAUUCAGAGACAAGAUUAUAGUGCUUACUUUGCUUAUGACUCAAUUGCUAUUGAUUAUGAUGUUGCUCAUAAAGAUAUAUCCAUGUCGUUAUAUGGCUCUUCUAAGUAUUACUGAGUCUUCUGAACCCACAGCUUACAAAGCUAUUGUUCCUUCGGAAAAUUGGAGAAAUGCCAUGGUUGAAGAGUUCAUCGCUUUACAGAAACAAGGAACUUGGGAGUUGGUUCCUCCACUUUCAAAUAGAAAUGUAAUAGGCAGCAAGUGGGUUUAUAAGGUGAAAAGAGAUCAGUUUGGCAAAAUGUCUAGGUAUAAAGCUCGUUUAGUGGCUCAAGGGUUCAGUCAAGAACAAGGUUUGGAUUAUGACAAAACAUUUAGUCCUGUUGUGAGACACAUCACAGUUAGAAUUGUUUUAGCUCUGGCAGCAUCAAACAAAUGGUCUCUAAGGCAGCUUGAUGUGAAGAAUGCAUUUCUUCACGGUUAUUUACAGGAAGAUGUACUCAUGAAAUAACCACAAGGUUUUCAAGACCUUGAGCAUCCAAAGUAUGUUUGCAAACUGGUGAAGUCUCUAUAUGGUCUCAAACAGGUUCCUUGGGCUUGGAAUUCAAAAUUUACAACUUAUUUGCCAACUUUGGGAUUUCAGGUUUCAAAAUCAGAUCCAAGUCUGUUCAUUAAGGCUCACAAUCAUGAUGUGGUUAUACUUUUGCUCUAUGUUGAUGACAUCAUUAUCACUAGUUCAAGUCCUUCUUUGGUUCAACAAGUUAUCACUGAUUUGGGCGAUGUAUUUGAUAUGAAGAACAUGGCUCUACUCAUAUAUUUUCUGGGAUUGGAGAUCACAUAUCAAAAGAAUGGAGAUUUGUUUAUUUCCCAACAAAAGUAUGUCAAAGAUCUGCUCAAGAAGGUAGGUAUGGAGUCUUGUAAGCCAUGUCCAACCCCCUGCAAACCACAUACACAACUUCUUAAGGAUGAAGGUAUUCCAUUAUCAGAUCCUAAGUUGUUUAGAAGUUUGGUGGGAGCUUUGCAGUAUUUGACAUUUACACGUCCUGAUAUUGCAUUUGCUGUGAAUUAUGCAUGUCAGUUUAUGGCAACACCUAUUGAUGAACAUUUUCAUUUAGUUAAAAGGAUACUUUGAUACUUGCAAGGAACAAUGUCAUGUGGUCUCACAUAUUCAAGCACAGAUCAUAUGGGAAUCACUGCAUUCAGUGAUGCAGAUUGGGCAUCUGACGUUAACACACGGCGGUCAACUACUGGAUAUGUGGUGUUUUUAGGACAAAAUCCCAUUUCGUGGAUGUCUAAGAAACAAGGGGUGGUCUCCCGUAGCUCAACCGAAGCUGAAUAUAAAGCACUUGCCAAUGCUGUUGUUGAUAUUGCUUGGGUGAGGCUUAUAUUGAAAGACUUGAAGGUCUAUCUACCUGAUCCUCCUCUCUUAUAUUGUGAUAAUAUAUCCACCUUGGCCUUAUGUUCAAAUCCAGUUUUUCAUACUCGGAUUAAACAUUUGGACACUAACUUUCACUUUGUUCGUGAAAGAGUUCAAAAAGGAGACUUGCAGGUUGAGUAUAUGUUUACAGAAGACCAGGUUGCUGAUCUAUUGACGAAGGGAUUACAUGAUCCAGCCUUUCUUCAUCACUGUUGCAAUCUCAAACUGGGGUUCCCUAGUUGAGAUUGAGGUGGGGUAUUAACCAUAAGAAUGCCAAAUGGCAUAAUCUCUGCUAUGACAUGUGUAAUGAUCCUAAAGUGUUGGUUUUAGUUAGUUACAAGUUUACUUACUGACUAAGUAUCCUAGUUACUAUAUAUAGUGAGCUAAGUCAUUUUCCAAUGUAAUGAAAAACUGUUAUUGCUGUAAUAUCAAAGUCUUCUUUCUCUCUUC